rnacentral:rRNA from 1 species
AUUGAACGCUGGCGGCAGGCCUAACACAUGCAAGUCGAACGGUAACAGGAAACAGCUUGCUGUUUCGCUGACGAGUGGCGGACGGGUGAGUAAUGUCUGGGAAACUGCCUGAUGGAGGGGGAUAACUACUGGAAACGGUAGCUAAUACCGCAUAACGUCGCAAGACCAAAGAGGGGGACCCUCGGGCCUCUUGCCAUCGGAUGUGCCCAGGUGGGAUUAGCUUGUUGGUGGGGUAACGGUUCACCAAGGCGACGAUCCCUAGCUGGUCUGAGAGGAUGACCGGCCACACUGGAACUGAGACACGGUCCAGACUCCUACGGGAGGCAGCAGUGGGGAAUAUUGCACAAUGGGCGCAAGCCUGAUGCAGCCAUGCCGCGUGUAUGAAGAAGGCCUUCGGGUUGUAAAGUACUUUCAGCUGGGAGGAAGGGAGUAAAGUUAAUACCUUUGCUCAUUGACGUUACCCGCAGAAGAAGCACCGGCUAACUCCGUG